rnacentral:lncRNA from 1 species
CAUUUCUCGCACACGGAAACUGAGGCCUGCGGAGAGGCGGCCUUGACAGAGAUCCAAGUCGGAACGAUGUGAAAGAGGCCCAGAAAAUUUUGUGCUGAAAUUUGAAGAAGGAGAAAAAAAGAAGGUGGAAUGCUUACCCUCGGCGGAAAACAGGAGCGACAGAGCAAGUCUCAGGAAGGCCUGAAGUCCUGGUGUUAGAGCAGGUGCACAGUUUGAGGAAUGAUACUGGAAACCAGGCUGCCACCACUUCAAGACCAAAGGCACUGCCAUGCUGGAGAGGGGGUGGAGCAAGGGUAAGUAAAAAUGCUGCAAAACUUCCAACCAUUUUGAAGAUGGCUCUUUCUUAACUGGUUAUUUGUUUGGCGGCUGUGAACUUUUGAGUGUUUUCCAAAGUUCCAGUAAGGCUGGUUCAGACAGUUUCUACCUUCUAAAAAAAUACUUCUGUGAAGGAAUGAAAGCUUGGAGCUUCCUAGUCUGCCAUUUUGCUGAUGUCUUUUUCUUCAACAUAGUUUUGCCUUCUCUUGGACUUUCACUGAAGGGCAUUAGAGCACUUGGAAUAUAACCUAAAGGAAGAUGUGUGCAGUCACUAAAAAAUGGUGGAGCAAAGACACCGUGAGCCACUAUAAAAAAGCUUGGAAUAGAAACUUGUUUGGGGAGUUGAAAUUUUAUGGAUGAGGAAUCCACUAGGAUAUUGGAUGACAGUUGAGAACAGAUAAGCUUAAGAAAUGAAGUUCUGUCCAGGUAGUAAAUUGCUCAGGGAGCUGUUGUUUGCUGACAGUAUGGGACAGCUGCAGUUACAUGCUACACAUGGCUGGGUCUGGUUUCUUGAUGCAUAUUAAUUCCAGCUCAUGAAGGGUCUUGAGCAAUGCCAAAAAUGACCAAAUAGAAGAAAAUGUGAAAAUAAUGAUAUGGCUAGUUCUGGAACUAAAUUAGAUCCUCUCCUCUGAGCCCAGAGAAUUCUGUCUAAUUCAAUUCAUUCCUAAAGGUAGCUGUCAUAUCAGCUUGUCCCAACUUUGGCUGUGGUUCAUAGAUGUGUCUCAGAAGUGACUUUGGGAGUUCCCGUUGUGGUUCAGUGGUUUAAGAACCUGACUAGUAUCCAUGAGGAUGGAGGUUAGAUCCCUGGCUUUGCUCAGUGGGUUAAGGAUCUGGCAUUGCCUCAAGCUGUGGUAAAGAUUGCAGACCUGGCUUGGAUGUGACAUUGCUGUGGCUGUGGUGUAGGCUGGCAGCUACAGCUCUAAUUUGGCACCUGCAGCAUAUGAAGUUCCUUGUCUGGGAACUUCACAUGCCACAGAUGCAGCCCUAAAUAGGAAAAAGAAAAAAAAAAA